rnacentral:rRNA from 1 species
AGGAUCAUUAUAGAAUAAACUUGAACGGGCUGUUGCUCUCCUAUGGUGCACGCCUGUCAUAUUUAUCUCUCCAACUGUGCACACUUUGUAGACCUGGUGUUUUGGGAAUUGCUUACAGUAGUUGGCUUUGCCCUUUGCUUCUCACCAGUCUAUGUUAUUUUAUCACAACCUCUGAAUGUUUUGAACUUUAUGAUGGAAAUUAUAUACAACUUUCAGCAACGGAUCUCUUGGCUCUCGCAUCGAUGAAGAACGCAGCGAAAUGCGAUAAGUAAUGUGAAUUGCAGAAUUCAGUGAAUCAUCGAAUCUUUGAACGCAUCUUGCGCUUCUUGGUAUUCCAAGGAGCAUGCCUGUUUGAGUGUCAUUAAAGUUCUCAAAACUACAUGUUUGUUCGUGUGGAAUUUUGGAUAUGGGGGUUGCAGGCUUUUCAAGUCGGCUCCUCUGAAAUGUAUCAGUGGUAUCUGUGUGGAACUACAGGUGUGAUAAAUAAAAUCUAUGCCUUGUCUCUCACUGUGCUGCUUCUAACGGAUCGGAUUGACAAAUUUGACCUCAAAUCAGGUAGGACUACCCGCUGAACUUAAGCAUAUCAAUAAGCGGAGGAAAAGAAACUAACAAGGAUUCCCCUAGUAACUGCGAGUGAAGCGGGAAAAGCUCAAAUUUGAAAUCUGACGGUUCUUGACUGUCCGAGUUGUAAUCUAGAGAAGUGUUACCUGUGCUGGACCGUGUUCAAGUCUCCUGGAAUGGAGCAUCAUAGAGGGUGAGAAUCCCGUCUUUGACACGGACUGCCUGUACGUCGUGGUGCGCUCUCAAAGAGUCGAGUUGUUUGGGAAUGCAGCUCAAAAUGGGUGGUAAAUGCCAUCUAAAGCUAAAUAUUGGCGAGAGACCGAUAGCGAACAAGUACCGUGAGGGAAAGAUGAAAAGAACUUUGGAAAGAGAGUUAAACAGUACGUGAAAUUGCUGAAAGGGAAACGCUUGAAGUCAGUCGUGUCGGCCAGAAAUCAGCCUUGCUUUUGCCUGGUGUACUUUCUGGUUCGGUGGGUCAGCAUCAAUUUUGGCCAUCGGACAAAGUCUUUGGGAAUGUGGCAUCCUUGGAUGUGUUAUAGCCCAUUGUCGCAUACGGUGGUUGGGAUUGAGGAAUUCAGCACGCCUCGCAAGGGGCCG